rnacentral:rRNA from 1 species
ACGAACGCUGGCGGCGUGCCUAACACAUGCAAGUCGAACGGGGUCCAUGGGAGCUUGCUCCCAGAAGACCUAGUGGCGAACGGGUGAGUAACACGUGAGGAACCUACCCUGAAGUGGGGAAUAACCCGAGGAAACUCGAGCUAAUACCGCAUACCUUCCGCUGAUCGCAUGGUCGGUGGAAGAAAGAAUUUCGCUUCAGGCGGGCCUCGCGGCCUAUCAGCUUGUUGGUGGGGUAACGGCCCACCAAGGCAACGACGGGUAGCUGGUUUGAGAGAACGAUCAGCCACACUGGAACUGAGACACGGUCCAGACUCCUACGGGAGGCAGCAGUGGGGAAUCUUGCGCAAUGGGCGAAAGCCUGACGCAGCAACGCCGCGUGCGGGAUGACGGCCUUCGUGGUUGUAAACCGCUUUCAGCAGGGACGAAAAUGACGGUACCUGCAGAAGAAGCCCCGGCUAACUACGU